UGGACUACGCGGGUAUCUAAUCCUGUUUGCUCCCCACGCUUUCGCACAUGAGCGUCAGUUACAGUCCAGGAAGCCGCCUUCGCCACCGGUGUUCCUCCGAAUAUCUACGAAUUUCACCUCUACACUCGGAAUUCCGCUUCCCCCUACUGUACUCAAGAAAGGCAGUAUCAAAGGCAAUACCACGGUUAAGCCGUAGUCUUUCACCCCUGACUUACCAAACCACCUGCGUUCGCUUUACGCCCAAUAAAUCCGAACAACGCUCGCCACCUCUGUCUUACCGCGGCUGCUGGCAC
rnacentral:misc_RNA from 1 species